rnacentral:misc_RNA from 1 species
AAAAUCCAAAACUAACGGAGGAAGAAAUUCUUUUUCCUUCCGUGGCUUCGUUCGGGUAAAACCGAUUGAAGUUGUUAACAUUCUGUGAACUGUACCUGUCUCUGGCGGUGGGGUGGCUUGAAAACCCACCUGUUCGGGCGUAAGAGAUUACGCUUUGGACAACCCGUCAGCCACUUGUCAUACACAUUUUUUAGUCUUACUCUUGUAUUUUUACCAAUACAAAAAA